AAGAUACUAGUAAAGUAGCUAUUACACUGCUUUGUCAAGGCAGAGUCGUGGGUUGAACCCCCGCGUAUCUUA
rnacentral:tRNA from 1 species